rnacentral:rRNA from 1 species
GCAAGUCGAGCGCGAAAGGACUUCGGUCUGAGUAGAGCGGCGGACGGGUGAGUAACGCGUAGGAAUCUACCCAGUAGUGGGGGACAACUCGGGGAAACUCGAGCUAAUACCGCAUACGCCCUACGGGGGAAAGCGGGGGAUCUUCGGACCUCGCGCUAUUGGAAGAGCCUGCGUUGGAUUAGCUAGUUGGUGGGGUAAAGGCCUACCAAGGCGACGAUCCAUAGCUGGUCUGAGAGGAUGAUC